UUACGGCCACAUCCCGUUAAAACACUGGUUCCUGUAUGAUCACCGAAGUUAAGUAAUGUUGUGCUUGGUCAGUACAUAGAUGGGUGACCAUUUGGAAAUACCAGGUGCUGUAA